rnacentral:tRNA from 1 species
GCGGAAGUAGUUCAGUGGUAGAACAUCACCUUGCCAAGGUGGGGGUAGCGGGUUCGAACCCCGUCUUCCGCU